GGCGGCUCUGUGCGCCAUGGUACGGCGCGGCCGGCGGCGGCGGCGGCGGGCGGCGGUAGCGGUGAGCCGCGGCAAGAAGGAGAUACCCAAGGAUGUGGCUGACAUUUUUAAUGCCCCCAGUGACAGUGAAGAUUUUCUGGGGUUCCAAGACGAUGCUUCCAGACAGAGAUUGUUGUCAGAGGGCACCUAUGCUAAUCUUGAUGCCCUGGAGCCAGGAAAAAAGGGAGCUCGAUUUCAGUCCAGAUACCUCACUGAAGAGCUGCGGAGGAUUUUCACGGAAGACACUGACUCUGAAAUGGAAACGUUUGAAGGCUUCGCUUCAAGCGAGGUAGAUGUGAACAAGAAAGGAGUUCUGGCGGUAGAGUCGGACUUGAGUGAUGGAGAACGUGAUAAUUUACUGGGUAGUGAGGAAGAAGAGGAGGAAGAGGCAAAGAAGAAAGUUUCCCCCAAGAGAAGAAGCUUCGGCCUCCGUGUUGCCUUACAGUUUCCCACCAGAAAGUCAUCAGAGAAAAAAUUGCCUGAACAGGAUUUUUCUAACUUACCUCUAAAAGAAAGUGAAUCCCUCACACCUCUUUCAAAAGAAAUAAGCUGUAAGCGGUGGGAUAAACUAGAGGGCUCUGUUUCAGAGUCUGAAGAAGAUAUGAAAGAAACACAGGAGGAAAGUUCCAGUGCUCUGCUUAAAAGAGCCAUGAAUAUUAAAGAAAAUAAAGCCAUGCUUGCUCAGCUGCUGGCAGAACUGAAUUCUAUACCUGAACUGUUCCCAGUGAAAACGCCCACCUCAACUCCUUCGAAACAGAAGAAAAUCCCAAGGAGGACAUUUUCAGAAGGCCAGAUAGAACGUCGCAUGAACCCAACCAGAAACGCCCGUCCACCAGAAAAGUUUGCCUUGGAAAAAUUUACUGUGUCGGCUGUCAAGUUUGCAGAACACUUCAGUAGCUAUAGACAACAAAACCUCUUGAAGAAGAGACUCAGUGUGCAGGGGAAUUGUGGAGUCCGCAGAAGGAGGAGAUCAUCAAAAUAUUCAUCUCACCGUCCAGUAGAGGAUAUUACUGAGGAGGACUUGGACAACAUUGCAAUCACUGUUAAAGAUAAAGUCUAUGACAAAGUUCUAGGUAGUACUUGCCACCAGUGUCGACAAAAGACAACUGAUACAAAGACAAUCUGUCGCAACCACGGCUGUGGUGGGGUAAGGGGACAGUUUUGUGGACCAUGUCUUCGAAAUCGAUAUGGGGAAGAUGUGAAAUCAGCACUGCUUGAUCCAGCCUGGAUCUGUCCCCCUUGUCGUGGGGUGUGCAACUGCAGCUACUGCCGCCGGCGGGAUGGGCGCUGUGCCACGGGCAUGCUCAUCCACUUGGCCAAGUUCUACGGCUACAACAAUGUCAAGGAGUACCUAGAAAGGUGAGGGCUGUGCCCCAUGGUCAUCUCCUUUUAAACUGUUGUAGCCCUUUAAACAAUACCUGACUUCUGUGGCCUGGAGGAGAUCCUGGACCUGUGCAAAAGAAAUUUUUUCGACUUGAAAUCAGGUUCAUUAAAUUUACAGAAGCAACUGGCGAAUGACAAUUGAGAACUCUGAACUCAAAGUGUGCCUGCAACUGGUUAAUAUGUUGACAAUAUUUGACUUCAGAAGGUUAUUACUAUGUUUUAUAUAAGAUAGAAUUGUAGGGUAGAGUAUAUGCAUUUCUUUGUUCAGAACUUUGAUUGGUGUGGUCUUAUGCAAAAGAUCUCUCAGGAAAAUGUUUUGGUAGAGAAAUCUACAUGCACAGACCUAUAUGUUAAGUGAAGUGAAGUGGCACUCUUGAACUUUGAGUGGUUAAUUUUUAAUAGAGCUACACAACCACAUGAUUGAGAACUUGGUCAAUUUGAGCAAUAUUUUUAUUUAUAUAAUUGUGCAAGUUUGCAGAAAGGGUGUUUAAUAACUACCUGUAAAGCAUAUCCUGUCUUUAAAGAAACAAAACGCCCUUUGUGUUCCAGCUUGACCCUAAAGAUUCAGUUUUCCAACUCUUGUUUUCUGAACCUACUCCUGCACCUGUAGUUUAUGGAACUUUCCAUGCAAAGGAAGGAAGGGUACUUUUAUCUGAAUGCCAUAAUAUUUCAGCCAAAGCUGAUGCAACCUACCAGUGGGGGGAUGAUUUUUUUUUUUGUAUUCCAAAGUGCAAUUAAUAACUGAAACAUGAAAGUGGAAGAGUGUUUUAUAAAAAAAAAAAAUAAAAAAAUUUAAAGAAUUUUAAACAUCAUCCCAAUAAACAAAAUGAAUUGUUCACUUGCAGUUUUCAUGUGAUGUAUCUGCUGCCUGAACCAACUACCUUACAGCAGUUGGUAAUUGGGUAACUGGUUUAAAUCACAGAGUUCAGGAUUACUUUUUUUAAGUACAAUUCAUAUUUAGAUGUUUUUUUCGUAUGUACAACCAAACUUUCAAACUUAGUUUAAGUGCAACAUGUUUGUAUUGCAGUAUGGUUAUGUUAAAAUUCUUGUAAGAUACAUGUUUCAUUUUAUGUAGAGAGAAUAAAAAGUAAUCAAGAGGAG